CGACGGGUCGAGCAGGGACGAAAGUCGGGACUAGUGAUCCGGCAGUGGCUUGUGGAAGCGCUGUCGCUCAACGGAUAAAAGGUACCCCGGGGAUAACAGGCUGAUCUUCCCCAAGAGUCCAUAUCGACGGGAUGGUUUGGCACCUCGAUGUCGGCUCGUCGCAUCCUGGGGCUGGAGUCGGUCCCAAGGGUUGGGCUGUUCGCCCAUUAAAGCGGUACGCGAGCUGGGUUUAGAACGUCGUGAGACAGUUCGGUCCCUAUCCGCUGUGCGCGUAGGAAUAUUGAGAAGGGCUGUCCCUAGUACGAGAGGACCGGGACGGACGAACCUCUGGUGUGCCAGUUGUCCUGCCAAGGGCAUGGCUGGUUGGCUACGUUCGGAAAGGAUAACCGCUGAAAGCAUCUAAGCGGGAAGCCUGCUUCGAGAUGAGUAUUCCCACCAACUUGAUUGGUUAAGGCUCCCAGUAGACGACUGGGUUGAUAGGCCAGAUGUGGAAGCCCUGUAAGGGGUGGAGCUGACUGGUACUAAUAGGCCGAGGGCUUGUCCUCAGUUG
rnacentral:rRNA from 1 species